rnacentral:lncRNA from 1 species
GGGCCAUUUUCCCCAACCUCUAACCCCAGCCAGGCUGCUGGACCUAAGGCUUCUGGACCUAAGGAAUGAAGACAGAGCAACAUGACAAUGGGGAUUCCUCAUCUCCCAGGUCCUGGUCACAUGGAGACAGCACUGCAGCAGGGCCCAGCCAUGUGGCCUUUAUUCCGGAGACACGUGCCCAGUGAAACUGUGUGUUCGAUUACUCAAGGGGACCACAGAGAUUGGGGGCAACGGAUAAUCUGUGCACGACCUACAGUUUUAUGCCUGAGAGAAAAAUAUUUCUAAGACCUGGAAGGAAGAAGGGUACUUUCAGCUGAAAGCAGGAGGAGUUUGUUAACAAUAAUCCCUACGUUAGGAAGAGGGAAAGUGGUCUGGAGGACCCUGUAAAGCAAUAGAAGGAAGAGCAAGCCAAGGUCAGACACGCGGUACACGGGGCCAGCACGGACAGUGUGAAGCUGUGGCGGUGGCGUCCGGCUCGAAAGGCAAGGUGGAAAUAAAAUGCUUGGGAAUAAUUACACGUAGAUAGGAGGUCGGUGGUGGGAGCUGAAGUGUCCUCAGACCCUGCACUGUUGGAGAGGAGAGAACGAGGAUUCCAGGAUUAACAACUGCAUUUUGCUUAUUUCCUUACUAAUCACUUGACUUUUGUUAACACUUUAUAUGGCAUAUAUAUAUAUAUAUACAUGAGUAUGAAAUAUACGUAUGUGGUUGAAAGAAACCGUCAUUCUCUGCAAACUGACUCAAGAACAGAAAAUCAAACACCGCAUGUUCUCACUCAUAGGCGGGUGUUGAACGGUGAGAACAUGUGGACACGGGGAGAGGAGCAUCACACACUGGGGUCUGUUGGGGGGAACUAGGGGAGGGACAGCGGGGGGUGGGGAGUUGGGGAGGGACAACACUGGGAGAAAUGCCAGAUAUAGGUGAUGGGGAGGAAGCCAACCACACUGCCGUGUAUGUACCUAUGCAACUCUCUUGCAUGUUCUUCACAUGUACCCCAAGACCUAAAACAC